rnacentral:rRNA from 1 species
CCUACGGGUGGCAGCAGUGAGGAAUAUUGGUCAAUGGGCGAGAGCCUGAACCAGCCAAGUCGCGUGAGGGAGUACUGCCCUAUGGGUUGUAAACCUCUUUUGUCGGGGAGCAAAAGACGGACGUGUCCGGCUGUGAGAGUACCCGAAGAAAAAGCAUCGGCUAACUCCGUGCCAGCAGCCGCGGUAAUACGGAGGAUGCGAGCGUUAUCCGGAUUUAUUGGGUUUAAAGGGUGCGCAGGCGGAUUUUUAAGUCAGCGGUAAAAUCGUGGGGCUCAACCCCAUCCAGCCGUUGAAACUGGGGAUCUAGAGUGUGCGAGAGGUAUGCGGAAUGCGUGGUGUAGCGGUGAAAUGCAUAGAUAUCACGCAGAACCCCGAUUGCGAAGGCAGCAUACCGGUGCACAACUGACGCUCAGGCACGAAAGCGUGGGUAUCGAACAGGAUUAGAUACCCGGGUAGUC